GCAGUAUGGAAAUUAUGCACAUCCUUUUUCUUAUCUUCCUAUGUUGAAAAUUCUGGUUGCUAUGGCAACAAAUAGACUGAAUUUCAAGAUUUCUUAUUCUAGUUUUUAAGUUUUUUCACUAUAAGUUCUUUAUUUCUUAAGGUAUUUUCUUCAAACUUUAAAUAUAAGUUGCUUGUCAUCAACCAUAUCAUAUUGUGGCAAGGUUUACAACUCUAGUACAAAAUUUAUCAGAAUUACCUCCCUUGAACUUAAAAUUUUCAUGAAAAAAACAUUGUUUUUUUUUAAUAACUUCUUUUUCUGAAGUAUCUACUUCAAACUUCAUAUAAAUGUUUCUUAUUGUCACUCAACAUUUGUGAGUGUUCAAUACUCUAGCAAGACUAUUUCCAGAAUUAUGCCCCUUUUGAACUUAGACUUUUUUUGAGAAAUUGGUAAUUUUUACUCCAACUUCUUCAAUCAUGAUAGGAUUUUAAAAAUGUUAUAUUUUUGAUAACAGGGAUGUUUAAAAAAAUAACUUUAGAGUGUCCUUCAGUCCGUCUGUCUGUACAUAAAAACUGUUUCCUGUGAUCACUUUUAAAGAACUUUUUCAACAAAUUUACUUAAAAUAGGAACCUAAGUGAAUGGCCCUUCAGAAUGUUGCUUGGGCUCUUACCGGUAGGGGACUUAUGGAUUGCUUGCAAUACUAUGAUAAUUGCUUGUUUGAAAAUAUUUUUUUCCUCAAAAACUUAAUCAAAUAACGAACAAAUCAUUAUCAAAAUAGGUACAUUUGUGUAUAAUAAAUAGACAUACUUCUACAAUGUAUUCUAUUAAUUAAUGAAAUUUUGUGUCAUAAUUUGAUUACAACAAACAUUUUGAUGAUAAAACCACUUUAUAUACAUGGACCAUGCCUACUAUGCCUUUAAUAAAUUAAUUAUAAAAUAAGAUAGACGAAACCACUUUCGCACCUCUUCAUAAAUUAAGUCCGCCGAACCGGUAGUUUGACUAAACCACCAUAAUUCAUAUAAAUCCGUGGUAGCACUUUCUCUCGGGCCUAAUUUUUGUUGGAACGGUGGUUUUUUGUCGAUUUAGUAAUUUUCUCUACUCGAACUAGUCUAUAAAGUACUGGCAUGUAUGACGGUCAUGGUAAGGUGCCUAAAUGUUGACAUGGUCAUUGUAAAUAUUCCAGGUCUUUUCGCCUGUGAUUUUCUUUCUUGUAUGACAAAUUCCAAUAAAUGGUCUCUUUCAAAAGGAAAUAAACAUUUAGAUUGUGCAGUUUCCUAAAAAAUUCUAAUCUUAAAUUGCUAAUCAAAUUAGAAAUUUUGGCUCUAACUUUUCCGUCAAAGCCAAGAGGCUAACUUGGUGUUCUUAAAGUGAGAGAAAUCGCUGCUGACAUGGACGUUUAGCCUUUGUGUGUUUUUUUUGCGGUAAAGGGUCUACUCGGGCUUACAUUAACUCGGUCCAGGUCAACUCGGCCUUCUAUUAGAAACCUAUUUUAAUAUGGAUUGUUAACAUUGUUUUGAAAAAAUUUUAGGAGUGAAUUACUAUAGAAGUAUUCAAAGGUAUGAUGGCAUGACCAACAGAAAUUGAAAAAGUUGGCAGUAAACAUGCCUAAAUGUGCUUGUGAAGUUUAAAAGUUAGGUGUAGAUGUGUUUAUGGAGUUAUUAAAAAGCAUUGGUAUUGGCACAACUAAGGUGUUGGGAGGCACAGAUAUAGCAAAGUGUUCAGGUUUGGCUGUGUUUGUGGAGUUGAAGAGUCGAUAUUGGCAAAUUUGGAGCAUUGGGAGAUUGGGAUAUAGUAAAGUGUGCGUGUUAUUGGCAAAUGUAGAACAUAGGAAGAUAAGAUUACAGUGCAUUGUGCAGGCACUCCACCAUGCACUCUUAAUGUAGAGUACUCCUACCCUUGGGAUUAUGCCCAACAAGUGCACUAUCCCAAUCAUUCUCAAUAGGUUGGUUCAAUAUAUUUUAGGACACCAAGAAAGUUCCAUGUGAUUUGUGUUUGUGCGGAGGGAUCAGGACUUCAUGGAAGUGUCAGUCUCAACAUGCUCUGGAAAGUGAAGAAACAAUGCAACAGGUUGCCAGUAUUGUCCUGCAGUCAUCAAGACAUGGCCACAAUAUCCCACAGCUUAUAGAUGAUCUAAAAAGCCAUUGGAAGUCAUUUUAAUAGUAAAACCCCUGAGGCCUGCUGCUCUAAGGACUAAUGCUAUAUUGACUAGUGUGUGGCUAGUGUGUGGAUCAUAUUAAUUAAUGGUUGCCUAUAUUAGUUUUGGAUGUCAGCUUACCAGUUACUUAUUUCCAUAAUGUUUAUAACAUUUCAUGUGAUUGAGUUUAGUGUAAUACAACAUUUGUCACGUCACUUUCAGUUAUAGAAUUGCAUUGAACCUAUGCAUUUUAUGAAUUGAUCGACUGUAAUCCUGUCUUUACAAGUUUUUAAAGUAUUGAUUUCAAGAUAAAUAAACAGUUUUAAUUGGUUGUGUGACUAUAUCUUAUUGAAAAUGACUGCAUAAAAUGUAGAGUAAUAAGCUUCAGUACUUGCUGUCAAGUUUUAAACAUUUUAUAGUUUUAGAAUAUGAAAACUAUCUUAUCUAUAACAAUGAUAGGUCAGUUAAUUUUUAGCCGGGUUGCACUGGUGUAAAUCCGGGUUAUAGUAUGGUGAAUGUCGGGCGGCGGGCGGGGAAAAUAUUUUCGUAACAGUUUUCUCAGCAACUACUUACCACAGCCUCUUGAUAUUUGGCAUACAGCAUUGACACAUGGUCCCAUACCGUGGGACUCGAUUUCAGGUCUGUCGCUCAUCCACUUCCUGUUUAUCCACUUAGUUAAAUUAGUUAGAUUUUUCAACAUUAAUGGUCAAUGGUAGGAAAUUUUCGUAACAGUUUUCUCAGCAACUACUUAUCACAGCCUCUUGAUAUUUGGCAUACAGCAUUGACACAUGGUCCCAUACCGUGGGAUUCGAUUUCAGGUCUGUCGCUCAUCCACUUCCUGUUUAUCCACUUAGUUAAAUUAGUUAGAUUUUUUUCAACAUUAAUGGUCAAUGGUAGGAAAUUUUCGUAACAGUUUUCUCAGCAACUACUUAUCACAGCCUCUUGAUAUUUGGCAUACAGCAUUGACACAUUGUCCCAUACUGUGGGAUUUGAUUUCAGGUCUGUUGCUCAUCCACUUCCUGUUUAUCCACUUAGUUAAAUUAGUUAGAUUUUUCAACAUUAAUGGUCAAUGGUAGGAAAUUUUCGUAACAGUUUUCUCAGCAACUACUUAUCACAGCCUCUUGAUAUUUGGCAUACAGCAUUGACACAUGGUCCCAUACUGUGGGAUUUGAUUUCAGGUCUGUCGCUCAUCCACUUCCUGUUUAUCCACUUAGUUAAAUUAGUUAGAUUUUUCGACAUUAAUGGUCAAUGGUAGGAAAUUUUCGUAACAGUUUUCUCAGCAACUACUUAUCACAGCCUCUUGAUAUUUGGCAUGCAGCAUUGACACAUGGUCCCAUACUGUGGGAUUCGAUUUCAAGUCUGCAGCUCAUCCACUUCCUGUUCACAUUAAUGGUCAAUGGUAGGAAAUUUUUGUAACAUUUUUCUCAGAAACUACUAAUCACAGCCUCUUGAUAUUUGGCAUACAGCAUUGACACAUGGUCCCAUACUGUGGGAUUCGAUUUUAGGUGUGUUAUCCACUUCCUGUUUACUUACUGAAUUAAAUUUUCAACAUUAAUGGGUCAAUGGAAUUUUUUUUUUCGUAACAUCACAGCCUCAUGAUAUUUGGUGUACAAAUGCAACCCGGCCUUUUCUGUCUUUGACCCAUUUUUUAUGUUGAUAUUAGUGUAGAAUCACUUUGUAAAAUUAUCAUAAAUCCUGAACAUUGUUAAAAAAAGCAUGAAAAUCAAAGAAAAUUCCAUGGUAGCUAGGCUACUAAAAUUUCCUUCAGUUAGAAAGGAUUUUUAACAGGAACAACAUAAUAAAAAUACUCUGAAUGUUUGAUAUCAUUGUAACUCUUUCGGAACUUAAUCUCCUAUAUGCCUGUAAAAUUUGGAAAUUUAUAACAAAAUAAUAAUUAUUCAUUAAACACUAAUUAUAUACAAAGACAGUAAGUACCAUUUUUUUGGUAAGAAUUUUCUGUAUGUCAUUAAUAAUUAAUUAUGCUAGUCAAUUCAAAGUCCUUACUGUAUUGUGGAACCACAGUGUAGUUUACACCAGAUGUUCCUGAAAAUACUUUUAUGAAAAUAUGUUUUUCAAAACCUACAUUAAAGUGAGUCUAAGGAUACUUGAUCCAAGAAUCAUUGUUAAGAUUGCACUUAUAGUUCUAAUAUUUUUGUUUUUGUGAUCAUGCUGCUUUGUUCAUGAUAUGUUGAGAUCUUUUUGUGUCGCCUUAAAAAGGCAACAUAUAGGGAUUACUUUUGUCGGCGGUGUCGGUGGCGGCGUCCCCUAAAGAUUGUCCGGAGCAUAACUCAGUCACUAUAAGUCUGAUUGACUUCAAACUUGGUAUGCAUGCUUCUUUCAAUAACCCAAAGUGCAGUGCACAAGAAUCAGUACUCUGCACUUCUUAAUUUUUGAGUUAUUGCCCUUUGUUAAUUUUCAUACUUUAUUUUUGUCUGGGCCAUUUCUCUUCAACUAUAAAAGCUAUGGACUUGAAACUUCAUAGAAUGAUAGAUCUCAUUUAGAAAAAGUGCAGUGCACAAGAACCGGUACUUUGCACUUCCUAAUUUUUGAGUUAUUGCCCUUUGUUAAUUUUCAUAUUUUAUUUUUGUCCAGGUCAUUUCUCCUAAAGUAUAAAAGCUAUGGACAUGUAACUUCAUAGGAUGAUAGAUCUCAUUAAGAAAAUGUGCAUUGUACAAGAACUGGUACUCUGCAUUUCUUAUUUUUGAGUUAUUGCCCUUUAUUGUGUCGCCUUUCUUUUUAGCUCACCUGUCACAAAGUGACAGGGUGAGCUUUUGUGUCGUCCGUCCGUCGUCCGUCCGUAAACUUUUACUUUAAAUGACAUCUCCUCAUAAACCACUAAGCCAAUUUCAUCCAAACUUCACAGGAAUGUUCCUUUGGUGGUCACCUUUAAAAAUUGUUCAAAGAAUUUAAUUCCAUGCAGAACUCUGGUUGCCAUGGCAACCGAAAGAAAAAACUUUAAAUAUCUUCUUUUAAAAAACCAUAAGAGCUAGAGCUUAGAUAUUUGGCAUGAAACAUCUUCUAGUGAGUGUCUACCAAGUUUGUUCAAAUAAAAGCCCUGGGGUCAAAAUUGGCCCCGCCCCAGGGGGUCAUUGAUUUUCCCUAUAUGCAUAUAGUAAAAACUUAAAAAAUCUUCUUUUAAAGAACUCAAAGAGCUAUGGCUAAGAUAUUGAGCAUCAAACAUGUUCUAAUAAGUGUCUACCAAGUUUGUUCAAAUAAAAGCCCUGGGGUCAAAAUUGGCCUUGCCCCAGGGGGUCAUUGAUUUUCCCUAUAUGCAUAUAGUAAAAACUUAAAAAAUCUUCUUUUAAAGAACUCAAAGAGCUAUGGCUAAGAUAUUUAGCAUCAAACAUGUUCUAAUAGGUGUCUACCAAGUUUGUUCAAAUAAAAGCCCUGGGGUCAAAAUUGGCACCGCCCCGGGGGUCAUUGAUUUUCCUUAUAUGUGUAUAGCAAAAACUUAAAAUCUUCUUUGAAAAAACCCAAAUAGCUAGAGUUAAGAUAUUAAGCAUGAAACAUCUUUUAGUGAGUGUCUACAAAGUUUGUUCAAAUAAAAUAAAAGCCCUGGGGUCAAAAUUGGCCCCGUCCCAGGGGGUCAUUGAUUUUCCCUAUAUGCAUAUAGUAAAAACUUAAAAAAUCUUCUUUUAAAGAACCCAAAGAGCUAGAGCUAAGAUAUUUAGCAUGAAACAUCUUCUAAUGGGUGUCUACCAAGUUUGUUCAAAUAAAAGCCCUGGGGUCAAAAUUAGCCCUGCCCCGGGGGUCAUUGAUUUUCCCUAUAUGCAUUUAGUAAAAACUUAAAAAAUCUUCUUUUAAAGAACUCAAAGAGCUAUGGCUAAGAUAUUGAGCAUCAAACAUGUUCUAAUAGGUGUCUACCAAGUUUGUUCAAAUAAAAGCCCUGGGGUCAAAAUUGGCCCCGCCCCAGGGGGCCAUUGAUUUUCCCUAUAUGCAUAUAGUAAAAACGUAAAAAAUCUUCUUUUUAAAGAACCCAAAGAGUUAGAGCUAAGAUAUUUAGCAUGAAACAUGUUCUAAUAAGUGUCUACCAAGUUUGUUCAAAUAAAAGCCCUGGGGUCAAAAUUGGCCCCGCCCCAGGGGGUCAUUGAUUUUCCCUAUAUGCAUAUAGUAAAAACUUAAAAAAUCUUCUUUUAAAGAACUCAAAGAGCUAUGGCUAAGAUAUUUAGCAUCAAACAUGUUCUAAUAGGUGUCUACCAAGUUUGUUCAAAUAAAAGCCCUGGGGUCAAAAUUGGCACCGCCCCAGGGGGUCAUUGAUUUUCCUAAUAUGUGUAUAGCAAAAACUUAAAAUCUUUUUUUUGAAAAAACCCAAAUAGCUAGAGUUAAGAUAUUAAGCAUGAAACAUCUUUUAGUGAGUGUCUACAAAGUUUGUUCAAAUAAAAGCCCUGGGGUCAAAAUUGGCCCCGCCCCGGGGGUCAUUGAUUUUCCUUAUAUGUGUAUAGCAAAAACUUAAAAUCUUCUUUGAAAAAACCCAAAUAUCUAGAGUUUAGAUAUUAAGCAUGAAACAUUUUCUAGUUGGUGUCUACAAAGUUUGUUCAAAUAAAAGCCCUGGGGUCAAAACUGGCCCGGCCCCAGGGGUGUCAUUGUUUUUAACUAUAUGUGUAUAGUAAAAACUUUAAAAAAAUCUUCUUUUAAAAAGCCCAAUGUGCUAGAGCUUAGAUGUUUAGCAUGAAACAUCUUCUUAUGGGUGUCUACCAAAUUUGUGCAAAUAAAAGCCUUUGGGUUAAAAUUUGCCCUGCAACGUAGGGGGGUCCUAUAUACAGGUGAGCGACCUCAGGGCCAUCAUGGCCCUCUUGUUUAUUUGUGCAAUUUCAUCCAAACUUUACAGGAAUGAUCAGUACCAAGUCUAGUUGUGCAUAUUGUCAGCAUUUUCCGGUUCAAUGAUUUUUGUCAGAGUUAUGGCCCUUUAAUAAUUUUUGUUUUUUAAGUUUGUCCGGACUACUUCUCUUAUACCACUAAUGCAAUUUCAAUGAAACUUUACAGGAUUGAUCUGUAGCUCAAGUCCUUGCUCAUAUUGCACGGGUUUUCGGGUUGAAUGAUUUUUGGCUGAGUUAUGGCCCUUUGAUAAAAAGGUGUUUUUUUCUGUGUGUUGCCAGUUACACAAAAGCAUGUUCGGACUACUCCUCAUAAAUUACUGGUGCAAUUUCAUCCAAACUUUACAGGAAUGAUCAGUACCAAGUCUAGUUGUGCAUAUUGUCAGCAUUAUCCGGUUCAAUGAUUUUUUUUGUCAGAGUUAUGGCCCUUUAAUAAUUUUUAUAUGCCCGAAAGAAUUUCGGGCAUAUUAUGUUAUACCCCCUGGCGUCCGUCUGUCCGUCCGUCCGUCCGUUAGUAAUUUGGUUUCCGGAGCAUAACUUAAGUUCCAUUUGGCCCACAGUAUUCAAAUUUCAUAGGAUGAUUGCCCAUAUUGGGUAGAAGACCCCUAUUGAUUUUGGGGUCACAAGGUCAAAGGUCAAGGUCACUAUUAGCUAAAUACUGAAAAUGGUUUCCGGAGCAUAACUUAAGUUCCAUUUGGCCCACAGUAUUCAAACUUCAUAGGAUGAUUGCCCAUAUUGAGAAGAAAACCCCUAUUGAUUUUGGGGUCACAAGGUCAAAGGUCAAGGUCACUAUUACAUAAAUACUGAAAAUGGUUUCCGGAGCAUAACUUAAGUUCUGUUUGACCCACAGUAUUCAAACUUCAUAGGAUGAUUGCCUAUAUUGGGUAGAAGACCCCUAUUGAUUUUGGGGUCACAAGGUCAAAGGUCAAGGUCACUAUUAGCUAAAUACUGAAAAUGGUUUCCGGAGCAUAACUUAAGUUCCAUUUGGCCCACAGUAUUCAAUCUUCAUAGGAUGAUUGCCCAUAUUGAGAAGAAAUCCCCUAUUGAUUUUGGGGUCACAAGGUCAAAGGUCAAGGUCACUAUUAGCUAAAUACUGAAAAUGGUUUCCGGAGCAUAACUUAAGUUCUGUUUGACCCACAGUAUUCAAACUUCAUAGGAUGAUUGUCCAUAUUGGGUAGAAGACCCCUAUUGAUUUUGGGGUCACAAGGUCAAAGGUCAAGGUCACUAUUAGCUAAAUACUGAAAAUGGUUUCCGGAGCAUAACUUAAGUUCCAUUUGGCCCACAGUAUUCAAACUUCAUAGGAUGAUUGCCCAUAUUGAGAAGAAAACCCCUAUUGAUUUUGGGGUCACAAGGUCAAAGGUCAAGGUCACUAUUAGCUAAAUACUGAAAAUGGUUUCCGGAGCAUAACUUAAGUUCUGUUUGACCCACAGUAUUCAAACUUCAUAGGAUGAUUGUCCAUAUUGAGUAGAAGACCCCUAUUGAUUUUGGGGUCACAAGGUCAAAGGUCAAGGUCACUAUUAGCUUAAUACUGAAAAUGAUUUCCGGACCAUAACUUAAGUUCCAUUUUGCCCACAGUAUUCAAACUUCAUAGGAUGAGUGUCCAUAUUGAAAAGAAGACCCCUAUUGAUUUUGGGGUCACAAGGUUAAAGGUCAAGGUCACUAUUAGCUUAGUAUUGAAAAUUGUUUCCGGAGCAAAACUUAAGUUCCAUUUGGCCCACAGUAUUCAAACUUCAUAGGAUGAUUGCCUAUAUUGGGUAGAAGACCCCUAUUGAUUUUGGGGUCACAAGGUCAAAGGUCAAGGUCACUAUUAGCUAAAUACUGAAAAUGGUUUCCGGAGCAUAACUUAAGUUCCAUUUGACCCACAGUAUUCAAACUUCAUAGGAUGAUUGUCCAUAUUAAAUAGAAGACCCCUAUUGAUUUUGAGGUCACAAGGUCAAAGGUCAAGGUCACUUUAAGCUUAAUACUGAAAAUGGUUUCCGGAGCAUAACUUAAGUGCCAUUUGGCCAACAGUAUUCAAACUUCAUAGGAUGAUUGUUCAUAUUGGGUAGAAGACUGCUAUUGAUUUUGGGGUCACAAGGUCAAAUAUCAAGGGAUUACUAUCACCUUUAAGCUGGAAACAGUUUUCGCUCAAUAAAUUUUAUAGGAUUAACAGCUUUAUACCCCUGAAGUCUUGGUGUCCAUCCAUUGUAGCAUUUUUACUUACACGAUAACAACUUGAUGGUGGUGCUUUGAAAACAGCAACUGUAUAUAUACAUGAAUGUCUUCAGCUAUAAAGGAGGAUUGCUUUUUUGAAGGAGGUAAAACUGUAUUUAAUUCCCAUGUCUUCCUCACUAAAAGAAAAAGUACUUUCGGGCAUAUAAUGCUCCGCCUAGCGGUGCUCUUGUUAUUUUUAAAGUUUGUCCGGACUACUUCUCUUAUACCACUAAUGCAAUUUCAAUGAAACUUUACAGGAUUAAUUUGAGGCUCAAGUUCUUGCGCAUAUUGCACAGGUUUUCCGGUUGAAUGAUUUUUGGCUGAGUUAUGGCCCUUUGAUAAAAAGGUGUUUUUUUGUGUGUUGCCAGAUACACAAAAGCUUCUCGGGACUACUCAUAAACUACUGGUGCAAUUUUAUCCAAACUUUACAGGAAUGAUCAGUACCAAGUCUAGUUGUGCACUGUCCUUCUGUCUGUUCGUCUGUCACAAAUCUUGUCCCAGCAUGAAAUUGGCCAUCAUGAGGCGACACAUGUGAUCACUGAUCGCUCUUGUUAAUUUUCAUACUGUAUUUUGUCCAGGCCAUUUCUCAUAAAUUAUAAAAGCUAUGGUCUUGAAACUUCAUAGGAUGCUAUGUCUUAUUGAUAAGAAGUGCAGUGCAAAGAAACUGCUGCUCUGCACUUCUUAUUUUUAGCUCACAUGAGCCGAAGGCUCAGGGUGAGCUAUUAGUAUCAAAGGGGGAUCAAAGGGGGAUGCUCCGUCGUCCGUCGUCAUGCGUCAGCAAUUGUCUUCUUCUCUGAAACUACAAGGCAGAUUUACUUCAAAUUUGGUCUGUAGCAUCCUUGAAUUUGCUCAUGUCAUUCCAAUUUAGGGGUGUGGAUCGUCGGAUAAGUGACGAUCCGAUCCAAACCACUAUUUAGCACUUACGAUUCACAAAUCAAACCACAAAUCUUUUGUUAUCAAGACACCCAUAAAAACAUGUACAUUAGUUAUAAAAACAUGUUUAUUUAAAAAAAAAAAACAAUACUAAACAUUAAACAUAUAAAAUAUAAACUAGGUUUAUGUUUUUAGCUCAUCUGUCACAAAGUGACAGGGUGAGCUUUUGUGAUCGCUUUUCGUCCGGCGUCCGUCCGUCCGUCGUCCGUCCGUCCGUAAACUUUUGCUUUAAAUGACAUCUCCUCAUAAACCACUGAGCCAAUUUCAUCCAAACUUCACAGGAAUGUUCCUUUGGUGGUCACCUUUAAAAAUUGUUCAAAGAAUUUAAUUCCAUGCAGAACUCUGGUUGCCAUGGCAACCGAAAGAAAAAUCUUUAAAUAUCUUCUUUUAAAGAACUGUAAGAGCUAGAGCUUAGAUAUUUGGCAUGAAACAUCUUCUAAAGAGUGUCUACCAAGUUUGUUCAAAUAAAAGCCCUGGGGUCAAAAUUGGCCCCGCCCCAGGGGGUCAUUGAUUUUCCCUAUAUGCAUAUAGUAAAAAAUUAAAAAAUCUUCUUUUAAAGAACUGUAAGAGCUAGAGCUUAGAUAUUUGGCAUGAAACAUCUUCUAGUGAAUGUCUACCAAGUUUGUUCAAAUAAAAGCCCUGGGGUCAAAAUUGGCCCCGCCCCAGGGGGUCAUUGAUUUUCCCUAAAUGCAUAUAGUAAAAACUUAAAAAAUCUUCUUUUAAAGAACCCAAAGAGCUAGAGCUAAGAUAUUUAGCAUGAAACAUCUUCUAGUGAGUGUCUACCAAGUUUGUUCAAAUAAAAGUCCUGGGGUCAAAAUUGGCCCCGCCCUGGGGGGUCAUUGAUUUUCCCUAUAUGCAUAUAGUAAAAACUUAAAAAAUCUUCUUUUAAAGAACCGUAAGAGCUAGAGCUUAGAGUUUUGGCAUGAAACAUCUUCUUGUGAAUGUCUACCAAGUUUGUUCAAAUAAAAGCCCUGGGGUCAAAAUUGGCCCCGCCCCAGGGGGUCAUUGAUUUUCCCUAUAUGCAUAUAGAAAAAAACUUAAAAAAUCUUCUUUUAAAGAACCCAAAGAGCUAGAGCUAAGAUAUUUAGCAUGAAACAUGUUCUAAUAGGUGUCUACCAAGUAUGUUCAAAUAAAAGCCCUGGGGUCAAAACUGGCCCCGCCCCGGGGGUCAUUGAUUUUCCUUAUAUGUGUAUAGCAAAAACUUAAAAAUCU